rnacentral:lncRNA from 1 species
CCCCUCAAUUUUUAGUUUGAAACUCAAGAGGAAAGGAAGAAGAAAAAGAAAGGAAAUUGUGAAAAGAAGGAAAAUGAAUAGAAAACUAAUGUGAAAUCAAGAGGGGACUUUUCUGGAAAGCAAAAUUAAUAUUAAACAAAAUUAAUUAAUUAAAAUUUGAAAAAAAAACUAAAAUCUCCUAUUAACUAUCCCACUAACAACACAAUCCCACCAAAUUUGACACCUCAAUCCAUAUCCAGCUACCUCAAAAUUUUAACUCC